CAUCACCGUAAGGGAAGGAAAGAAAGGAGGCCCAAGUCACUGCAAGGUCCAGCGUCCCCGCUGAGUGACAGCGGGCACAUGGGCGGGACUUAAAAGAGCGGGACUUACAAAGGGCGGGACUUACAAAGGGCGGGACUUGCAAAGGGCGGGACUCCCAAAGUGCUUUGGUAGCUAGCGAGGGCUUUGAGACGGCCGAGAGUUUGAGCGCCAAGGCUCUCUCUCCCCAGGGGACUCUGCAACCUGACUAGGUGCUCCUUCCCUGAGGUGUGUGCUCGACAAAGGUUGCUGAAAAAGUUCACGUUGAAAUUUUUUUUGAUGAUAAUAUCGUGUUACUCAUUUCCUUUGUUUCUUAGCAUAGUAACAUUCCAGGGAGCUGCCCGGGGAAGCUUAACGCUCGAUGCGGUCCACCACAAUUAUUUUGUUUGCAGGAGGGAUAAUGGGUGAAAGCUGGGUUUCUGGGAAGUGCAGGCCUGAGAAUACUGUGCUUGGACAAGCAUCUCCCUACCGCGAAGAGCAGCGCAGAUGAAGCAGAUCCAUCCUAUGACAAGAAUGGGAGUUGCCUUACUUUGUUUGCCAACACACAAACCACCCACUGUGCACUGCUUCAGUAAUAUGCACUUUGAGCAAGGUGUCAGUUCAUAUUCGAGAACUGGCCUCUCAGACAUGUUGUCAGGAAAGUAACCCAUUGCCUUCUCCAGGAAUUGAUGAUGGCAGCAUUGGCAAUUGACCUUGGAAUGGUGUUUAAAAGGAAUAAUGCUUGUGUUACACAUAUUUUUAUUAGUUCUUAAAAACAGGAUGCAAAGUCAAGGGUUAAUUUCCAUACACUUACACCACCCACUUUGUUUUUAUUCAUUCCCUGUCCGUUCACAAUCUUCUACCUAGGGAAUGGUGCCACCCAUAGUGGGCCAAAGAGAUGUCAUGAUUUUGAGGGGAGCUUUUUCUGCUAUGGAUAUGAGACCGUGCUUGGAAGAAAUGAUUUAUUGCAAAUUUACUAUGAUGGACAAUCUGUCUUUCAGGGUGGUAGGAAUGUAUCAUGGUGGGAGAGUCAUGGCAGCAGGCAGCUGGAACAGGACACUAAGUAAGAACACCUUCAACUACAAGCAGAAGUCAAGGAGAACUGAAAGUGGUGAGUCUAUGAUGUCUGAAGACCCACUCGGAAUAAUGUCCUUCCUCAGCAAGGCUAUACCACCAUCCCAAACAGUGUUCAAAUGCCCAGCCAAACAUCACAGUGGAGGUGGGAUAAGAAUAUCCAGAAGUAGUUUUCUUUUCUUGGAAAAAGUGCAGCAGUAUAUACCUGUCUCAAUUCUGGAGAAGUGUAGGGAUUCCCAGGUGCUAGGCAUUGUGGGAACCCUUUUCUGUCCCUGAGUGACAGAGGGACAAUAUCCAUGUGGGUGCUUUAUUCCCAUGUUGGCAGCUAAUGGAGCUGUGAGAGUUCCUCUUUCAAACUUUGUCCAGACUACCAUACCAGCCAAGAUUCUUCUGAUCCUCUCACCGCCCACAUGCUAACUCCUGCCAGGAAACAGCCAAGAAACCUAUAAAGGCUGUCCAGGGAUCAUGAGGACUUCCUACCAGCUAAGCCACAGCCUUGUCCUCAGGUUACAGCCUCUGUGGGUGGCAGUAGGGGUGGCUUUUUGUUUUGUUUUGUUUUCUGCAGGGUCCCUGAAGUCAGCUCUGGAAAACUGAGAAGAGUGCUGCGUGCAGAAUGCUUCGCUGGAUGUUUUUUUCCUCUAUUCUCACAGACAACUGGAACCUUGAGAGCCAAGGGAGAUUGUGGAGAGGAUGUGAGCAGAUGGCCGCUGAGGAUAGCUGACCGGGUGGGUGGGCUGGAACCUAGGCCAGGACCUGCCACCUGAGGAUUGUGCCUGCGAUGUCCAUAUGAUUGUGAACAGCUAAACAGGGAGCUCUGCUCUGUUGAAAAUCAUAAAGUUGAAAAUGAAAAGAGAUAAAACCUUAAGCACAGAAGAAUAUUUUGUCUUUGGUGAAAAGAACAACUUAAGAUUAAUUUUAUUUUUAUGCUGUAUAUGCGUGUGGGUAUGUGCAUGCAAAUUUGGGUGACUCCAAAGGUCAGAGCAUCAAAUCACUUGGAGCUGGGAUUAUAGGCAAAUGAAAGCUGCCAAGCAUAGGAAUCUAACGAAUGUCCUCUGUAUGAGCAGAGAGUACUCCUUACUGCAGAGCCAUGUUUCCAGCUUAAGGAGGGCUUUUAGAAAGAAGAUUGAUAGAGAAUACAUACUUAAUAGUUUGAUGUACUAAAAAGGUUAAUUUUUAUUCACUAUAGACACUAGAAAUAAUAUUUACAAUUUAUAUAAUGCAUGUGAUUAUAGAACUAGAAGUAACAAUAUUAAAUAUAAAUAAAUUAUUGUAAGUCAGAUAAGAGAGAUGGAAACCCCAGUAGGAAAAACCCAUUAAAGUAACUAAAAUGUGGACAA
rnacentral:lncRNA from 1 species